GGAACAGGCCUUUCAGGCAUCCUCUCCUAAAACUUUACAAGCCGUCCUUCGGGGCGGCUUUUUUUUGCCUUUC
rnacentral:sRNA from 1 species